GAGCAUUCUAGUACGCCGUACGGCUGUAGUUGUUCAAAGUUUGAACAACUACAGCCGUACGGCGUACUAGAAUGCUC